rnacentral:tRNA from 1 species
GCAGUGUUGGUUCAGUGAUAGAAUUCUCGCUUUCCACACGGGAGACCCGGGUUUGACUCCCAGCCACUGUA